AUUCAUCAAUUCAAUGCAUUAUAAAUUAAAUUGAUAUAAGAGAUUAAGGUGUAAAUGAAACCAUUAAAUUAAGGCUAUUUAUUGGUUUACUUUUAGGUUUAAGCUCGGUAGAUUUUAUAUGUUGCUUUUCUUUUUUUGGUAUAUAUUGAUAGAUGGUGCAGAUACUUCUAUUCUUUUUCUCGUGAAAACUUGAAUAAGUUGGUUACAUUCAUAUCUUUGUGCAACAUAAGUAGUGAAAAAACGGAAUUAAGAUGUUUGAUGACGUGGGGAACAUUUCUUAUAAGUUUGAGUUGUUACAUGUGGUUUUGAUCAAUGUUUACUGACUUUUAUCACCAUCUUGCAAUUGCUAGCUGAACUUGCUCAGUUUGUAUUUCAUCCUGGUGUUGAUAUUAAGUUGGCACAAACUAAAAUUUCUUGCAACUGUAAUGCCUCUAUUUUGGUUGCUGCGUUUUGCAAAAUAAUUUACACUUUUAAGCUUGGAUUAUUUAUGCAGAAGAGAGUACUUGUUGCAUUAGAAGAAGCUGGGGUAUUCACUUUUGGUGGUUUGGUUAAGGACAAGGUUCUCUUCUGUAGCACAUGUUAUCACCUAAUUAUUACCUACAUGUUAUCACCUACUAGUGGAAGCAUCAUAAGUGACAUGGUUAGAGGAGACUCAGCCGCCAGAGAACUUGAUGGUUAAGAAAGGGCAGUGCAUGGGCCCUACUAUAAGAAGAUGUUGACGACGGAGAUAAAUAUAACUAGUUUGCAAAGUUUUUGUUUUUUUUUUUUUUUGCAGGACUGUGUGUUUGGUUUCAAAUAGAGCUUGUAAUGAUUUGUACGAUCUAAGGGAAGGAAGUUUCAUAGGGCUAGAGGGAACAAUAAAGGACUUAGGGUUUAAGUUC